GUUUUUAUAGUUGAAUUACAACGAUAGUUUUUCAUAUUAUUAGUCUUGGUUAAAUUCCUUGUAAAAAUA
rnacentral:tRNA from 1 species